GAAAGAAGAAAGAAGAAAGAAGAAUAAGAAGAAUAAGAAGAAAGGAAGAGAAGAAGAGAAGAGAAGAGAAGAGAAGAAGAUUGGAGAAGAGAUUGACUUAUUUGGAAGGCUGCUGCAGAAUCCAGCAAAGGGGAGUUCCAAUUAACUGUGAGGGGACAAGUUCAGCAUCUGGAAAAGUGGAAACUGAUUCGGAUUGUCUAGGUUUUGAAGUUGAAGCAAAGAAGAUCAGGAGAUUGGUUGCAGAUGAAGUCAUGGACAGGGAGUGAUUAUAGACAAGGACUUGAUACUUUGUGUUUUAAUAUUGUAAAGUAAGUGUAAGUGGUAUUAUGUAAUUUGUUGUAACCAGUGGAGAAUUAUUAAUGGGCGUGUAAUAUUAUAGAGUUAUCAUUGUAGCUGAUCACCACAUGGACAUUCUGACCUUUUUGGAAUUUUACAUAUACUUUGAUUUUA